rnacentral:ncRNA from 1 species
UAAAGUUUAAUUUUAGCUUAAAAAUUUAUUAAAUUUUUUUUUUACAUGUAAAUUUAUGUAAGUUAGAUAGUUAAAUUUUAAUAGUUUAUUUAAUAAAGAUUUUUCGCAGUAUUUAAUAUUAAUAAUUUAAGAAAUUAAGAAUUAGAAAUAAAUUUUUAUAUUAACAAAUUUUGUGCCAGCAGUUGCGGUUAGACAAAAAAUAUAAAUAAAUUUUAUUAGUUAAUAAUUAUAAGUUAUUAUUAUUAAAUUAAAAUAAUGUUUAUUAGGUGAAAUUUUUAAGUAUUAAUAUAAUUUAAAUAUAAAAUUUUAUUAUUAUGAAAUUUAAUAUUAAACUAGGAUUAGAUACCCUAUUAUUUUAAAUGUAAAAUUUUUACUUAAGUAGUAUUAGUUAUGUUCUUGAAAUUUAAAAAUUUUGGCGGUAUUUUAGUCUAUUUAGAGGAACCUGUUCUAUAAUUGAUAAUCCACAAUUAAUUUUACUUAUUUUAAAAAAUUUGUAUAUCGUCGUUAUUAGAAAAUUUUAUUAGAAAUUAAAUUUUUAAAAGUUUUUAUUAAUAAAUAAAUCAGAUCAAGGUGCAGUUGAUAUUUAAGAAGAAAUGGGUUACAAUAAAUUUAUUUAUAUGGAUUUUAGUUUUAAAGGCUUUAUGAAGGUGGAUUUAAAAGUAAUAAAAUUUAAAUUAAUUUUAUGAUUUAUAGCUCUAAAAUAUGUACAUAUCGCCCGUCGCUCUUAUUAUAAAAUAAGAUAAGUCGUAACAUAGUAGAUGUACUGGAAAGUGUAUCUAGAAUGAUC